rnacentral:rRNA from 1 species
UGGAGCAUGUGGUUAAUUCGAAGCAACGCGAAGAACCUUACCAGGCCUUGACAUGCAGAGAACUUUCCAGAGAUGGAUUGGUGCCUUCGGGAACUCUGACACAGGUGCUGCAUGGCUGUCGUCAGCUUGUGUCGUGAGAUGUUGGGUUAAGUCCCGUAACGAGCGCAACCCUUGUCCUUAGUUACCAGCACGUUAUGGUGGGCACUCUAAGGAGACUGCCGGUGACAAACCGGAGGAAGGUGGGGAUGACGUCAAGUCAUCAUGGCCCUUACGGCCUGGGCUACACACGUGCUACAAUGGUCGGUACAAAGGGUUGCCAAGCCGCGAGGUGGAGCUAAUCCCAUAAAACCGAUCGUAGUCCGGAUCGCAGUCUGCAACUCGACUGCGUGAAGUCGGAAUCGCUAGUAAUCGUGAAUCAGAAUGUCACGGUGAAUACGUUCCCGGGCCUU